CUCUCAUGAUACUUCUUCCCACAGGAGGACAAGGAGGAAGCUACACUCAGGCUGCAACAGCCACAGUCCCAGUGCUCUGAAGUGUAUCUCAGACCUUAAAGGGUAUUAGACAGCCUUCCGUGGGCCUGAGUGUUACAGGAUUUCUUUUCGCCCAUAUUGUGUGGCUUUAUGAUCCCUGGUUUAAACCUUCACACCUGCAAGAAUGGCCCAUAUCCAAAAGACCAGAAACAACAAGUGCUGGCAAGGAUGAAAAAAGGGGACAGUCGUGCACUGUUUUUGGAUAAAGACGGAGCCAGCCCUUAUGGAAACAGUACGGAGGUUUCUUAAAGAGUGAAUGUGGUUCUGCCAUUGGACCCAGCAAUUCUACACUGAGGAUCUACUCACAGAGGAUAAAUACUCUCCUGUGAAGGGACCUGCACUCCUGUCACCACUGCAGCACUAUUUACAGUAGCCAAGCUAUGGACACCACCUGAAUGCCCCAGACAGCCGCCCUCUCUGUAGUGUCUCUACUCAGCAGUGUUUGAGCAGCCCCAGGAGUCCCUGCACCUCCUGCCUCUGACCUUGAGGGAAACCAGCCCCUCAGCCUGCUUGACAGUGAGGAGGUAAAGGCAAAGUCCUGAGGGGCAGGACCAAUGUGCUAUCCAUAGAAAAGAG